GCUGUACUCUUGCUAGGAACAGUUUUUCUUGGUGGAAGCUUUGCGUUUGUUUAGCUAAUAAAAUAUUAAAACUCGAUUCAAAAUGGUGUACAAUUGUUUAAUUAUGUCAUCCUGGUAUCGCGGACUCGCUCUCGUUUCAUACAAACCCAGCUGCUGCCAUUUUGCUACGAUUGUUUUGUACGCUGUAAUGGAUUACAAGAGAACUAACAAACUGACUUGGUGAGCAUAAGAGACGUCUUUAAAAACAAACAGAGCUGCAGCUUUAUGGACCUCUUUGCUGCCUGGAACACAACUCACUAAGGAAAAUCCGGUCCUGUUCGCGCCAGAGGAACAUAAACACCCCCUGCAAACAGCACCA
ensembl:lncRNA